rnacentral:rRNA from 1 species
UACGAAGGGUGCUAGCGUUGCUCGGAAUCACUGGGCGUAAAGGGUGCGUAGGCGGGUCUUUAAGUCAGGGGGUGAAAUCCUGGAGCUCAACUCCAGAACUGCCUUUGAUACUGAGGAUCUUGAGUUCGGGAGAGGUGAGUGGAACUGCGAGUGUAGAGGUGAAAUUCGUAGAUAUUCGCAAGAACACCAGUGGCGAAGGCGGCUCACUGGCCCGAUACUGACGCUGAGGCACGAAAGCGUGGGGAGCAACAGG